AGACCCGAAACCCGGUGAUCUAGCCAUGGGCAGGUUGAAGGUUGGGUAACACUAACUGGAGGACCGAACCGACUAAUGUUGAAAAAUUAGCGGAUGACCUGUGGCUGGGGGUGAAAGGCCAAUCAAACCGGGAGAUAGCUGGUUCUCCCCGAAAGCUAUUUAGGUAGCGCCUCGUGAAUUCAUCUCCGGGGGUAGAGCACUGUUUCGGCUAGGGGGCCAUCCCGGCUUACCAACCCGAUGCAAACUGCGAAUACCGGAGAAUGUUAUCACGGGAGACACACGGCGGGUGCUAACGUCCGUCGUGAAGAGGGAAACAACCCAGACCGCCAGCUAAGGUCCCAAAGUCAUGGUUAAGUGGGAAACGAUGUGGGAAGGCCCAGACAGCCAGGAUGUUGGCUUAGAAGCAGCCAUCAUUUAAAGAAAGCGUAAUAGCUCACUGGUCGAGUCGGCCUGCGCGGAAGAUGUAACGGGGCUAAACCAUGCACCGAAGCUGCGGCAGCGAACGUAUCACCCAAGACAACUUUACGGAGUUGACGAUUGACGGAGCGAAGCGACGUCAAAGCGUUCAUUAAAGUCGAGUUGGCUUAGGGAUACGUUCGUUGGGUAGGGGAGCGUUCUGUAAGCCUGUGAAGGUGUGUCGUGAGGCAUGCUGGAGGUAUCAGAAGUGCGAAUGCUGACAUAAGUAACGAUAAAGCGGGUGAAAAGCCCGCUCGCCGGAAGACCAAGGGUUCCUGUCCAACGUUAAUCGGGGCAGGGUGAGUCGACCCCUAAGGCGAGGCCGAAAGGCGUAGUCGAUGGGAAACGGGUUAAUAUUCCCGUACUUGGUGUUACUGCGAAGGGGGGACG
rnacentral:rRNA from 2 species